rnacentral:lncRNA from 1 species
GAACAUGAAUAUAUGGAACAUGUAUACAUAUAUACCAGAAUAUUGGAAUACAUAAAGCAAAGGACUAAAGUGUCACAUGUGCCAUCUCAGUUAAUCCUCAUGAUAGUCCUGUGAACUAAGUACUCUCCUUAUUCCAUUACAGAGAAACAGGGAUCCAGGGGAGUUCUAUAACUUGUCCAAGGCACAUGCUGACAUUGACUUUGGGAUUCCAGAGCCCUCGGUGAGGCUGCCUCCAUUAUCAACAGGACAGCACUGAGUUGCCAUGACAUAAGCAUUGCAUUAAUGAGUUGAGCUCUGCAGUCCUUCCUUUUUUAGAAGCAUGGAAUUAAUCCCAGGGCAACUCUCCCGUUCAUUCUGGAGCCAGUGCUGCGAUGACAUGAGGACGUGUUGUCAAGCCCCAGGAGUCACCAAAAGGCUCAGAGCUUUCAGGCGUCUUGGUCUCCACACUGUCCUUCAUCAGGCUUAUCAUUACUGCUCCUCCAAAAGGGAGCAAAACAGAGCCAAGGCUACCAUGAAGAUUUCACUGGAAUCCCUCCUCCAUGGCUACAUUGUUUUGGGACAAGCUUCUGUCAUUGAAAUAUGACAUUACAUCUAUUUACCUGUGUCUUUUACCAAUGAAUAAUGAGUCCCUGAAGACCUGAGAUAGUUAAUUUUUACAUCCUCAGCACGUGGCAUGGUGUCUAGAACACAGUAGAGACUCAAUAAAUGCUUGCUCAGGUACA